CAGUUUACCCCACGUGAGAGCAGUUUUCUUGCUCAAUUCCAUUAAUUUUCUUCUCUCUAGUUCUUACCAUUUGGGAAGUACUUGCAUUAUGAAGCACUAAACAACAUGAAUUUUUGUCAAACUACGAGAGACAAAGAUGCUGCUGGAGUGUUAUUUCCACAGUUAAGAAGAAAAGAGAGAUCUGGAAGGAAUAAAGGGAGGCACUGGAACAAAGGCAAUAAGUGUCUCCAAGGACUGUUCUUCUAUCCACCAUUUCCAUGUUUUUAACAGAAAUUUCUUCAGACAUCUACAGGGUGGGGACUGGAACCCACGGCUGUGCAGUGAAUGGACAGAGGCGAACGCUCUGAGAAAGCUGCGGUACGUGAGCCGCUGCCGCC
ensembl:lncRNA